rnacentral:rRNA from 1 species
GACGAACGCUGGCGGCGUGCCUAACACAUGCAAGUCGAACGGAGAUAUGAUUUCGGUUGUAUCUUAGUGGCGAACGGGUGAGUAACGCGUGAGCAACCUGACUCUUAGAGGGGGAUAACACCCGGAAACGAGUGCUAAUACCGCAUAAGACCACGACAUGGCAUCAUGACGAGGUCAAAGGAGCAAUCCGCUGAGAGAGGGGCUCGCGUCCCAUUAGAUAGAUGGCGGGGUAAUGGCCCACCAUGUCAGCGAUGGGUAGCCGAGCUGAGAGGCUGAUCGGCCACACUGGAACUGAGACACGGUCCAGACUCCUACGGGAGGCAGCAGUGGGGAAUAUUGGGCAAUGGGCGCAAGCCUGACCCAGCAACGCCGCGUGAGGGAAGAAGGCUUUCGGGUUGUAAACCUCUGUCCUUGGUGACGAAAAAAAUGACGGUAGCCAAGGAGGAAGCCCCGGCUAACUACGUG